UACGGAGGGAGCUAGCGUUGUUCGGAAUUACUGGGCGUAAAGCGCACGUAGGCGGUUAUUCAAGUCAGAGGUGAAAGCCCGGGGCUCAACCCCGGAACUGCCUUUGAAACUAGAUGACUAGAAUCUUGGAGAGGUCAGUGGAAUUCCGAGUGUAGAGGUGAAAUUCGUAGAUAUUCGGAAGAACACCAGUGGCGAAGGCGACUGAC
rnacentral:rRNA from 1 species